rnacentral:rRNA from 1 species
GGAAGUAAAAGUCGUAACAAGGUCUCCGUUGGUGAACCAGCGGAGGGAUCAUUACAGAGUUUACAACUCCCAAACCCAAAUGUGAACAUACCAAUCGUUGCUUCGGCGGACUCGUCCCAGCGUCCGGGUGGCCUUGCGCCGCCCGCGGCCUGGAACCAGGCGACCGCCGGAGGCCAUUCAAACUCUUUGUAUUACCAGUAUCUUCUGAAUCCGCCGCAAGGCAAAACAAAUGAAUCAAAACUUUCAACAACGGAUCUCUUGGUUCUGGCAUCGAUGAAGAACGCAGCGAAAUGCGAUAAGUAAUGUGAAUUGCAGAAUUCAGUGAAUCAUCGAAUCUUUGAACGCACAUUGCGCCCGCCAGCAUUCUGACGGGCAUGCCUGUUCGAGCGUCAUUUCAACCCUCGAGCUCCCCUUGGGGAGCCCGGCGUUGGGGACCGGCCUCUACCGCCGACCCCGAAAUACAGUGGCGGCCCCGUCACGGCGACCUCUGCGUAGUAACUCAACCUCGCACCGGAAACCCGACGUGGCCACGCCGUAAAACACCCCACUUCUGAACGUUGACCUCGGAUCAGGUAGGAAUACCCGCUGAACUUAAGCAUAUCAAUAAGCGGAGGA